CAAGGCUUUCCCUAGUUUUCUAGUCCAUACUUCUGGCUCUCUUUUAGAAACCCAGAGCAGACUGGCAAGUGACCAAAUCCACAGCAGUUCCAGCUCUUUCUGAGGAUGUCCCAUAGGAUAGGCAUGAUGCCUGGCCUACAUAGUGGGUAUCAGAUGUUAACUGCCUUUGACUCCUUACCACUUGUUGAUGUCUCUGUGUCACACAGUUGCUCAAGCUCCUUGAAGAUCUCCAGGCUGGUGACAUUAUUCCCCUCGGCUUUAAUUCCCUCACUGUGCAGCGCUCGAGCGGCGAUUUCAGAGCUAGGGUUGGUUUUCCAGUUUUUAAAUGAGUACGCUUCAAACACAGAGCUCAGAACUAGAUCCUUUAUCGCGCCCACUUGUGUCUGCAGAGCUCUGCAGGGUGUGGGCAUGUAGUCAGGUUUCUUCACCUGUUCGGUCACGUGCGGAUCACACAGCUACGUUAUAGCGAUGCAGAUAAGCCCUGUUAACGCAAUAUAUACUCGAAAACCAAACCCUGCUUAAGGUGUCACAGAAAGAGACGCUGGUAUCUUUAAAAUGUCCUAUCAGAGGGAAUUUUCUGAUUAAGUAACUGAGGUCUUCAGGAAUUGGAUCCAGGGUGAAGUCCCCCUGUCAAAACUGGUUUUUGAAACACUGCUGAACCUGUAAAGCCGUAUAUGAAAGCGAAGUUUAUUACCGAGUUAUGUGGCGGAUACUCAGUGUGUCUGCUGUGAGGCAUUUGAUAUUCUAUGUAUACACAUGAGCAAACACAUAUGUAAAAGACUUCAAAUUGAAACCGUAGCUGAAGUUUACAACACCCUAAAAAUACCCCAUAUAAAAACUGUAGCAGAUCGCCCUCUUUCCUACUUCCUCAAUUCUAAAGGUUCCCUCUGUCCAGAUUCAUGGCUUACUUUGAUCCUUUCUUUCGUGGAGAACCUUUAGAGUUCAUUAGACCCACUAGGUACGGAGGGGUAGAGGCAGAGAUGGAAAGCUCACCAGAUCAUGUGGGGACUUCCAAACCAAGGAGGACACAUUUCUGGAUGUCUCCAAAUUGAGUAGACAACAAAAUUGUUUGGCUCUUUCUGUGGAUGUCGAAAAUUGUUUUUCCAGAAUUUCUCCAUCGUAAAUUUUGCAUGCUGUAUGCCAUAAUUUGGAAAGGCUAUUACCGUGAUAAUCUUUCCUUGUCCACCAAAAACGUAUAUUCUGCCUCUUAAGACGGCGAAUGGACUAGCUUUACUCGUUUCAUGAGAAAACAGCCUAUCACCUUCCUAACUACUACACUGUGGGUAAAGCGCAGUGGACUCAAAAACCAAAAAAUCUUGUUCCAAUCUUGGUUCUGCUACUUCCUGAGCUAUGUAACCUUGGACUAGUUGCCUGCUUCAGCUUCCUCCCAGAGGUUUCAAAAAACAGGCUUUAGGAUUCCUUGUUUCCCUCUAGGGCUCCUCUCUCUCAUUUCCCCUUUGGGUACUGAGUGGAGAACAUGAAUCAUCAUGCCCCUACUUAAGGAGAGGAAGUCACCCUUAGUGUUUUUUUUUUUUUUUGUAAGACAGAUGGAUGAGGUGAGACAGAGCUGCUUGUGAGGUACUGUUUUUCCCCCCGCUACUUCAUUAGAUAUUAUCAGGCUAUGAAUGCUAUUCUUUGCAGUAGGAAAUAUCAUGACCCCUCAAUCCCACCUUAUGGUGCAGAUCCUCAGGAGGAGAUGAUGGUGAGAGUCAGUACAGCAGUCAAGUUAUAAAGAGACUGAGAAGUUAGGAAGUACUUGCUCAGACCUCAAGUCGAGUAUAGCCAGUUAAACUGUCCUGGCGCUUAGCACAGGGCCAGAGUGUGCCAGAGCCUUCCCUUUGGAGAUGGACUCACUCUCCUGUUCCUUCUGUAAACCCCAGCUACUUCUCAAGGUCUUCUCUGACCCACCCAGAUGAAGUUAGCAACCUUCACCCCCAAGUAUUGUAAUCACCCCUGCGUAGCACAUACUAUGUUUCAUUGUAAUUUAUUUUAGUGUGGGUCUGCCACCCCCAAUAGACUUUGAGAUCCUCAGAGAUUGUUAAUCUUUGAUUAGCCAGCACUUACACAGCACCUCACAUAUAGUAGGAGCGAAACAAAUGCCUGAAUCCCCAUACCCACUAUUUCUUCAAACUGUAGGCUCAAGGAGAAAGGAAUGUGUUGCAAUCCACAGGGAGUCUGAAACCUCUCACCAGAGGAUCGCCAAUGGCUGCGUCUAAAUUCAGAGGCAGCGUCAGGGCCUACACGUCCUCCCUGCCAGUUCCCCAGAAUGCUUUAGCUGGACCUGCCACCCAAGAUGUCCAAAACCCAGAGGCAGAGAUAUCACACCAGAAGCAGGGUCCAGGGUCAUCCAUGAAUCAAAAUGCAGUACCAGUUUUCACUGAAGGCUCUUGGUCCCCUGUUCCCAUCAUCAUCAGAGAAAGAAGUGCUCAUCAAAUCAAAAAAUUUGCUUCUGGCAAGGGAAUUUCCUUAUUUUGAA